rnacentral:rRNA from 1 species
GAUGAACGCUGGCGGCGUGCCUAAUACAUGCAAGUCGAGCGAAUGGAUUAAGAGCUUGCUCUUAUGAAGUUAGCGGCGGACGGGUGAGUAACACGUGGGUAACCUGCCCAUAAGACUGGGAUAACUCCGGGAAACCGGGGCUAAUACCGGAUAACAUUUUGAACUGCAUGGUUCGAAAUUGAAAGGCGGCUUCGGCUGUCACUUAUGGAUGGACCCGCGUCGCAUUAGCUAGUUGGUGAGGUAACGGCUCACCAAGGCAACGAUGCGUAGCCGACCUGAGAGGGUGAUCGGCCACACUGGGACUGAGACACGGCCCAGACUCCUACGGGAGGCAGCAGUAGGGAAUAUUGGACAAUGGGGGCAACCCUGAUCCAGCCAUGCCGCGUGAGUGAAGAAGGCCCUCGGGUUGUAAAGCUCUUUUGUCAGGGAAGAAAAGGUCGUGGCUAAUAUCCACGGCUCAUGACGGUACCUGAAGAAUAAGCACCGGCUAACUACGUGCC